AUAUCCUCUAAGUAUUCUUUCAUCAGGUAAAAAAAUAUCUGUUCUCGUCAGCUUAAUAUCUGUUACAUCCCCCAUCACAGUACCACGACAUCAAACUCAUUUUUGGAUCAUGACGGAGUGCUAAGAACAUGCUCUACCUUCGUCACAGGAUGCCCUUCAUUUUGUAACUUUCUUAAAGCAACCAAAUGUUU